GGUAAAAUGGCUGAAGUUAAAGCGAUAAACUGUAAAUUUAUUUAUGAAUUUUAAAUUCUUUUACCA
rnacentral:tRNA from 1 species